GGUUAAGUUAAUAAGGGCGCACGGUGGAUGCCUUGGCACUAGGAGCCGAAGAAGGACGUGACAAACGACGAUAUGCCUUGGGUAGCUGUAAGUAAGCGAUGAUCCAGGGAUUUCCGAAUGGGGGAACCCAACAGGUACUACCUGUUACCCGCAUCUGUUAAGGAUGUGAGGAGGAAGACGCAGUGAACUGAAACAUCUAAGUAGCUGCAGGAAGAGAAAGCAAAAGCGAUUGCCUUAGUAGCGGCGAGCGAAACGGCAGGAGGGCAAACCGAAGAGUUUACUCUUCGGGGUUGUAGGACUGCAAUGUGGACUCAAAGAUUAUAGAAGAAUGAUUUGGGAAGAUCAGCCAAAGAGAGUAAUAGCCUCGUAUUUAAAAUAGUCUUUGUACCUAGCAGUAUCCUGAGUACGGCGGGACACGUGAAAUCCCGUCGGAAUCUGGGAGGACCAUCUCCCAACCCUAAAUACUCCCUAGUGACCGAUAGUGAACCAGUACCGUGAGGGAAAGGUGAAAAGCACCCCGGGAGGGGAGUGAAAUAGAACCUGAAACCGUGUGCCUACAACAAGUUCGAGCCCGUUAAUGGGUGAGAGCGUGCCUUUUGUAGAAUGAACCGGCGAGUUACGAUAUGAUGCGAGGUUAAGUUGAAGAGACGGAGCCGCAGGGAAACCGAGUCUGAAUAGGGCGCUUUAGUAUCAUGUCGUAGACCCGAAACCAUGUGACCUACCCAUGAGCAGGUUGAAGGUGCGGUAAGACGCACUGGAGGACCGAACCAGGGCACGUUGAAAAGUGCUUGGAUGACUUGUGGGUAGCGGAGAAAUUCCAAACGAACUUGGAGAUAGCUGGUUCUCUCCGAAAUAGCUUUAGGGCUAGCGUCGACAUAAAGAUUCUUGGAGGUAGAGCACUGUUUGGGUGAGGGGUCCAUCCCGGAUUACCAAUCUCAGAUAAACUCCGAAUGCCAAUGAAUUAUGGUCGGCAGUCAGACUGCGAGUGCUAAGAUCCGUAGUCGAAAGGGAAACAGCCCAGACCACCAGCUAAGGUCCCAAAAUAAUUGUUAAGUGGAAAAGGAUGUGGGGUUGCACAGACAACUAGGAUGUUAGCUUAGAAGCAGCUAUUCAUUCAAAGAGUGCGUAAUAGCUCACUAGUCGAGUGACCCUGCGCCGAAAAUGUACCGGGGCUAAAACAAUUUACCGAAGCUGUGGAUACCUUUAUAGGUAUGGUAGGAGAGCGUUCUAUGUGUGAAGAAGGUAUACCGUGAGGAGUGCUGGAACGCAUAGAAGUGAGAAUGCCGGUAUGAGUAGCGAAAGACAGGUGAGAAUCCUGUCCACCGUAAGACUAAGGUUUCCAGGGGAAGGCUCGUCCGCCCUGGGUUAGUCGGGACCUAAGGAGAGACCGAAAGGUGUAUCCGAUGGACAACAGGUUGAUAUUCCUGUACUAGAGUAUGUAGUGAUGGAGGGACGCAGUAGGCUAACUAAAGCAGACGAAUGGAAG
rnacentral:rRNA from 1 species